CUUGCCUACGGGACGCAGCAGUGAGGAAUAUUGGUCAAUGGGCGGAAGCCUGAACCAGCCAAGUCGCGUGAGGGAAUAAGGCCCUACGGGUCGUAAACCUCUUUUGCCGGGGAGCAAGGGCCGGGACGCGUCCCGGCCCGGAGAGUACCCGGAGAAAAAGCAUCGGCUAACUCCGUGCCAGCAGCCGCGGUAAUACGGAGGAUGCGUGCGUUAUCCGGAUUUAUUGGGUUUAAAGGGUGCGUAGUCGGGCUUUUAAGUCCGCGGUAAAAAUUCGGGGCUC
rnacentral:rRNA from 1 species